rnacentral:sRNA from 1 species
ACGCGGAAAGGAGGUGGUCCGAAUAAUGGUUAGUCAUAGUCGGGCUAGCGAGGUGGUUGUCCGCUGACGUCGCGGACUGUUGUCUCGUGACGUGACGCGAAUACGAGGCAACCACCGGGGCCCCUGGCAGCCGGAGGGCGGGACGUUCGAUCCCGACCAUGGUCCAUCCGGCCCGCCGCAUCGGCGGAGUGUUGCCUGGGGCCCUCUUCAA